ACCUGCCGUGCCUGCAGCCCACAAGCCACCCCCUUCUUUUCCCACGCAUGGCCCAAAGCUACGAGCUCUCAGAGUUUUUCCUUCUUGCAGCACGAGAUGACACAAAGAUAGGUUCUGGCAGUUGCAGAUGCCUUGCUGUUGGAGGCUGGGAAAGGAAGAUGAAAUGUGCAGAGCCCUUGACUUCUCCCUUUUCUUAAGACUGUGGGAUAAAUUUUUCAAAACAUUGGCUAGGAGACUUGCAUUCAAAACCAGCUGAGUAAAUAAUGGGGCUUUGAUGGGACAAGAGGCCCAGGGAAAUGGAGGACCUGACUUGCUCACACAGCAGAAUCAGAACUAAGACCCAACCAUCCUACCUUUCAGCUGAGAGUAACUUCUACCAGAUCACGAUAUUUGGAUACGCAGUGUGUUUUGAAGUUGGAGAAGAAAUCCAAGACCAAACACGUAUUGAGGUUUAUUUUCCAUCACCUCAGUGGCUUCCAUUCUCCAGCUUCUGAGUCUUUUUGUUUGUUUUUGUUUUUUUGAGACAUGGUCUCACUUUGUCACCAAGGCUGAAGUGCAGUGGUGCGAUCUCCACUCACUGUAGCCUUGACCUCCCAGGUUCAAGUGAUCCUCCUGCAUCGGCCCCCCAAGUAGCAUGGACUACAGGCACAUGCCACCAUGCCUGGCUAAUUUUUGUAUUUUUAGUAGAGAUGAGGUUUCACCAUGUUGCCUAGGCUGUUCUUGAACUCCUGGACUCGAACGAUCUGCUUGUUUUGGUCUCUUAAAGUGCUAGGAUUACAGGCAUGAGCCACUGUGCUGGGCCUGGCUUCUGAGACUUUUUGCCAGAGGGCUUCAGACCCACACCUGGGGCAGGCCAAAAGCACUGGGGGCUUCAUUCCCCAGGAGCAAUGCUUAAGGAGUGUGGGUCGGGAAUGGGUGGAUAAAUGCUCCUGAUUCUUCACCGCUUCCUUGAUGUCGUGAUUCUGGGGUAUGUGUUCCCUGGUGACUCAGAGGCUCCUCAGCAGAUCUGAUCCCCAGUUGCCCACCCCAGUGACUCUCUCGUUAAUGUACCCUUCAUGAACUUCCCUCCUGCCCUCUAUCCUUUCCCUACUUCCUCAUUAUGCUUUCUGAGAUUAUCUCCCAAAUAAAUUAUUUAUACCCCCAUCCUUCCUUCCGGACCUUC
rnacentral:lncRNA from 1 species